rnacentral:rRNA from 1 species
GAUGAACGCUGGCGGCGUGCCUAAUACAUGCAAGUCGAGCGAACAGAUGAGGAGCUUGCUCCUCUGACGUUAGCGGCGGACGGGUGAGUAACACGUGGAUAACCUACCUAUAAGACUGGGAUAACUUCGGGAAACCGGAGCUAAUACCGGAUAAUAUAUUGAACCGCAUGGUUCAAUAGUGAAAGACGGUUUUGCUGUCACUUAUAGAUGGAUCCGCGCCGCAUUAGCUAGUUGGUAAGGUAACGGCUUACCAAGGCAACGAUGCGUAGCCGACCUGAGAGGGUGAUCGGCCACACUGGAACUGAGACACGGUCCAGACGCCUACGGGAGGCAGCAGUAGGGAAUCUUCCGCAAUGGGCGAAAGCCUGACAGAGCAAGGCCGAGUGAGUGAUGAAGGUCUUCGGAUCGUAAAACUCUGUUAUUAGGGAAGAACAAAUGUGUAAGGAAAUAUGCACGUCUUGACGGUAACUAAUCAGAAAGCAACGGCUAACUACGUG